rnacentral:rRNA from 1 species
UACGUAGGAGGCAAGCGUUGUCCGGAUUUAUUGGGCGUAAAGAGCUCGUAGGCGGCUCGGUAAGUCAGGUGUGAAACCUCCAGGCUCAACCUGGAGACGCCACCUGAUACUGCUGUGGCUAGAGUCCGGUAGGGGAGCGUGGAAUUCCUGGUGUAGCGGUGAAAUGCGCAGAUAUCAGGAGGAACACCAGCGGCGAAGGCGGCGCUCUGGGCCGGAACUGACGCUGAGGAGCGAAAGCGUGGGGAGCGAACAGG